UUAAAACACAGAUAUAUGUUAUGAGAUAAAAGAGGAGGAAGAAGUGAAUAUAGGGAAGAAACAUUAUAAUAAAGUGUUUUCUAAAUAACUUAGCCAAUUGCUAUAUCCCAACCAUGGUUGCACCUUGUACACACAGACACAACCAUAUGAAGAUGAGUCAUAUCUUUGGGAUAUGGAUUGAUGCUUGUGUUCCCUUAUGCGCAGUUGCAUGUGGUCCUAGAUUGGCCAAGUGCCCUUAUUAAAUUCCUUUAAAAAUGAAAUGACUAAACGGAUUAGUGGUCCCAACUCCCUCAUUUGGCACUAAGCAGAGAUAUGAUAUACAUACCUUGAGACCACACUGGAACUUUGAAAUUAUGCCUUUUAAUCUCUUGGGGCCACAGUAGAUAAUUUAGAGUAACAUUUGUAAAAAGCUAAAGCUUAGGAUUCAUGUGGGGUACCCACAUAUAUGAAGUAUAAUUAUUACACUAAUACUUUGUUUAAAACAAGAAGUAAAAUAGAAGCCUUUUGUCUUCUGCUAGUACAGUUCUUUUCUCUUAAUAAUUAAAUGGUUAAUAUAGUUAAAGGAUGAAACAUACUUACACAACGGCUAGAGAUAUUUUAAUCCAGUGAUGGACACUGCACAAAUUUUCUAUUAUAUUAGGUACUGUUUGAUGGUGAUGGAGUAUGAGUUAGAUGAUCACAUUUGUCCAUAUUUUGAUCCAGCUUCGGUUCUGGGAGAGACGGACCCCAGCAUCAAACUCAGCUAACGCUCACUGCAACUCUGGCCUUGUCUUAUUGACUGGUUUUGGCAUCGUCUGGAAAUUCAUCACACUAAGUCAUUGACCCUUUUGCUAGCAGGGUAGUGCAUUCAAUAAUAAUAAGAUAAUUAAUUAAUUGUGCUGAUCAAUGAAACAGUAAUGAUUAAAGGUUAAAGACUAAACGGUCCCAUAAUUAAAAAAGUUUUCAAGUUUCAACAAGAGAAAAUUGACAGAUAAGAAGCACAUCUCAUAUCUUACAUGUAACUGAAAAGAGUGAAGGAUGAAAAAUUUUUAAAAGAGGAUUUGCUUGUGUGGGGAGGGAGGUUCAUCUUUUCCGAGGGAAAAAAUCCAAAAAAGACGACCUGUAAAACCCAGGCAGGUUUGGCUUUAUCUGGUGGAACUAUUUGUUACAACCAAGGCUUGGUUGCCGCCUUUGCCAAUUGUACCCUUAAUUCUUCCUUUUUUCCCCUCUUUUUCGUGGAUUUUCUCUUGUCUCUCCGCUCAUUUCCGUCUCCUUAAAUACCCCAUAGGUUUAUUGGUUCCAGAAGCAAAAACUACAGAGACCUGCUUGGAGCUCAAAGUCAUUUUAUGAGUAAAGCACAAGAACUGAGCAUUCCCCUCCUCUUUGUUGGCCUUCUUUUACUCUUUCUGUCCCUCUGUUACAUAAUUAAGGGUACGUAGCUCUUGAUUUUGCUGUCAAACGAGACUGUUUCUUUCUCUCACUCAUCUCAUCACACUCACAUGUGACGCAGUGAAUUAGCUAGCAUUUACCCAGUAUAUGUGUUUAAUUAAAUCUUUCUGAGUUUUGGAAUCUGAUACUGUAUUGUUUUGAUGAUGCAGAUUCUAGUCAAGUUCAAGAUGAAAAUUGUUAUCUCUCCCAUUGGUGAAAUGAUGCGCUUGCCUGGCUCCCUGAAUGCCAUGUAAGAAGCCUGUCAAAGAAAUUGUCAGCCUUUUUAUUUGGCAUGAGGGGAGUCAUGCAGGCUAACUAGUCAAUCAUUUAUGAGGAGAGUUGUACAAGUUUUGAAGAUAUAAUUGCUAUUUAUUAUGAUUGGUAAAAUGGUGAGUUUGGCUGACUCCCUGUACUCUAUGUAAGAAGCUUGUCAAAAGGAACUCAGCGUUUUCAUUUGACACAAGGGAGUCAUACAUGCAGGCUGACAAGUCACUCAAUAAGAUAUGAAGAAAGUUAUGUAAGUUUUGAUGAUGUUGAUUGUUAUUUACUCUGAUUUAUGAAAUGAUGGACUUGUCUGGCCCCCUAUAUGCCACGUAAGAAGUAAAAAACGAUUUAACAACCUUAUUUAUUUGCCAUAUGGGGGUCAUCCAGGCUAAUUUGAUUUUUAACCAAUAGCCAUGAAGAUAUGUUCAGAAUACAAAAUCCAACAGAAAAAAGUUAUCCAUCAACUUAAAAAACACAAGAAAAACAAAAGUAAUUGACCAAGCAAUUAAAAACAAAUCAAUGGCUUUCAAAUUCCAAUUAGUUGUAAACUGAAAGGGAGUUAAUUAAUAGCAUUCACAGAGCUUAGGUUUCUUUAACUUAUCAGCCUCCUAAAAGGUUAGCAUUAUUGGUUUUUCCAUCAUUUCGAAGGUAACCAAACCAACUAAUAAGACCAACCACAAACACUCAUCAUUUAUAAGCAUCACAUAAGAGCAUUAAAUAUGUUUCUGAUAGAAGUGACAGAACUUUUCAUUUCAAUGCUGAUGGUUCGUAGCAGGGCUGAAAGUAUAUAAGGUAACAACCUUUUCAUUUCCCAUUUAUUCCUGAUGCAAACGAUCAUUAGUGUCCGGUUGAUGCACGAAAUUGGAAAUGGAAAUGGUGCUUGGACUUGGAAUUAUGACAUUUAGAAGUUCAUCUAGAAUUGGAACCACAACUCUAAAGUCCAAUUCCACGGAAUUCUAACAUAAUUAAAGCGAACAUUUCUCAGUUCCAAACCUCUACCCGCCGCUAAAUUACAAUUCCUAUGUUCAUCCUCACUAUUCUGUUGUUCUCUCCGUCUUUGUUGCUCCAGCUACCACACACAAUGUCAUCACCCCUACCAUCACAAUCCCUAACACCAAUCACUGCCACCUGACUCCCACUGAUUGCCGUCAUAGUGCCACCCCCUUGCCCAACUACCACCACUCCAAUCAUCAUUGUUGUCCUUGUAAUUACCACAGCCAACAAUGAUUGCUACCGUGUCACUCUCAUAAUUUUGGUUGUUGCCAACAUCACCUUACCCAUUCCCCCCACCUCCGAUAACCAUUGUCACUCCUACCAUCACCAAUCACCAUUCUUACCACAUCAAUUGCCAUUACCACUCUUCCACUCUUCACCAUUACCUCCACCACCACUCCUAUCACUACCUACCAUCUCCACCACCUAUCCACCCCAACUAUCAUAAUUGUACCCAUAACUACUCCUAGCUAAAUAGAGAUGUCAAAAACGAGAUUGAAAUUAAACUUAGAAUUGUAAUUGUAAUCUCUAAUUCAUUACGCAACACAAACAUAGGAAUUAUAAUUCCAAACCAAUUAGAAUUGGAAUUGGAAUUACAAUUUUGAACGACAAAUCCAAUUCCAUGCACCAAACGAAUCCAUAAAUGUUUUAUAAUCAAUCCAUUACUUAGAAAAUUUCAGAAACCAUGCAUCACUGAAAUUUUUGUGAAAAAAAAAACGAUAAAUAAUUCUCCUCAGAAAUCAUAAAGUUGCUAUUCAUAAGUAAAAAGGUCGGGGUACAACCAUAACAGAUUUAAAGACACGUCCAUCCUACCUUAUAGUGAAGGUUGGGUGAAAUGUUUUAGUCAAAAACAGGACUUGAGGAUACUGCUCCAGAACAGAGAAAUUAAGCAGGAACACACACACACCCCUCGUAGGUCGGAGGGACCCCAAUUGUAAGCAAAACAAACCAAGCAAAUGUCAGAAUCAUCACAAACAGGUCGUAAUUAACAAUAGUCAACAUACCUUGAUAAGACUCAUCCAUUUAAAAAUGUAAGAAUCAUCAAAGACUAGUUUAAUAUCAGAAUCAACAAUCUUUUUUCCCGCUGCACCUCUUUGUUCUCCUUGUACAGCCAGCCUUGCCCUCUAUGCCUGCACUUAAAACACAACCCAAAAGGUCAAAGAUCUUAUUAUCGAAGAAUCAACUUUAAGCGAAAUGCAAGAGAUGCCAUCAAAAUUGGGAACAAACAAACCACCACCUUGCAAAGUUAAUCCAAAAUAUAACCUACAAAUCACAACAAUUACAUCUAUUCAGAUUCAUUACCCAUAAAGAAGUGAAAGUCACACCAAUUACUGGCAACAAUUGCAUUCAUCAGGAAUUCUAACCAGAAAACAAAAAAUUACAAAAAUACUGAGUGGCAACGAACCUACAUGCUUGAUCGUGCAACAUAGAGAACAAUUUAAUUGCAGAGUUAAGAAAUUGAUAUAUUUGACAAUGCGUGAGUGUGAACAAACUUGAGAAAGCGUACACAAGAUACAGAUGACAAAGUAUGGAGAAUUUAGAUGGAAAAUGAAUGAAAAAAAAGAGAGUAAAAAAUAGAUAUAUGUAUGCAAAGUGCAAACCCUAAAGUAGUGGACCCCACCAUGAAGACGAUGGUCUCUGGUUCAGUUGACACCAUACAAAAAAUGCUAGUAGUUUUAGUUAAGAACACCAGUUCUAACAAAGAAUAAGAAGAAGAAAAAAAAAACUAAAAAUUAAGAUUAAAAUCAAUUUAUAUAUUAACUGAAAAUUUUACGUAAUUUCUUUAUUUUUAAUGUACAUUUAAGU
rnacentral:lncRNA from 1 species